UUUUUCUUUUUUUUUUUUUUUGCUCUUUUUAGGGCCACACCUACAGCAAAUGGAAGUGCAGCCCUAAAAAGACUAAAGAAAUAAAUAAAGUCAUGUGGGCUCUGGUUCUGCCUGGUGCAGGUUGAGAGACAGGAUCACAAUCACCAGGCCAACAAGAGGGAAAAUACCCAAUCAACUCAACCCAAUUCAAUAUGCAUUAAUCUCCCUGGGCAAUUGUUUUAGAAAAGGCCUAAGGGGUUCCUUGAAUUGGAGAAAAACAGUACUGAACUGGUUGGCUACCAGGCCAAGGUGAGUGUUUCGUGAUGAGGGAAGUAUCUGAGAAUUUGGUCUGGAGAUGCUGAGGAAUAGAUCCUUCCUGGGGCUUUAGAUCCUAUUUCAUUCAGAUCCUCACCUCUGCAAACUUUCUGCAAUGUCCUCCCAAAAAAGCAUACUGCUUCUGUAGCACAGAAGGUCCUUAUAAAGAUAUUACAUUUCAAUAAAUAAUAUAAUUAAGAGUAAUCUCUUCCAUAUCCCAAAUUCAGCACUAAAAUUAAACAAGCCCACACAUAUUCCAGAGAUAAUAACCGAAGGGGAGGGGGCUAAGGAAGCAUAUGAAAACAAUAUAAAGACAUGCAAAACUGCUAUUAGCUCGGGAUAGAUAAAAGAAUUUCUAAAUUAUAGCUUUUGGUAAUGUUUUAAGUUGAGAGUCUAGUAAUCUGGGUGCAAAUUGUACUUGGGGGCAUUUGUUCUUUGUAAAAGGAAAUAGAUUAAGGGGGAAAAAAUAGAGUUGCUAAACCCACCACCAGAAAACACAUCUUCAGAGGAGGGUUCCAGACCUUUGAAAGGAUGUAUAAACCCAAUCACCAGAGGGCUUCAAAUUGAGGACGCUGCGUCGAGGCCUGCCUGGCGAUUUCAGAGCUGGACAUGAACCUAGAAAUCACUCACUUUAUAAAAACUUGUUUUUCUGGUGGGAGAGGCCCUUGGUGGGAGGACACAUCUCCCGCUAAGUCCUCAGUGCACAAUAGCAGGUAAAGGGAGCGAGGAGGUCGGUGUGGUCAGCGCCAUCUUGGCUCCCUGUCCCCAAGUGGCCACCGUCUGACCCAUCCAUCCACAGAUGGCCCAGAGAAGAUGAGACUUGCCCAAGGUCACCCAGCCCAAGAGAAGCGGGUCUGGGACUCCCAUUCAGGCCCCCAGACUCACCCCAGUCCUUCCUGAUGGGAAGGGGGUGGGAGAAUACCCAUGCACCCCAUACCAGCAAGCAAGUACCCAUCUUGGCCUCAGCCUGGACACCCUGAGGCCAUACUGCAGCGAGGCCCAGGCUGACCCAUCCCUGCUCUGCAGAUCAAGAGGGAGGAUGUUCCAGGAAUCCAGGUCUACAGACUGAUAAAGACAGGCCUAAGAAAUUACACCUGCCCUGUUCACUGGGUUACUGCAGUCAGGAGCCCAGAGCUCUCUGAACUGGCCUUUCCCCGUAAUCACUUCCAUCCCCCAAAGCCCCAGCCCCACCUCACUCCCACGUUUAUAUACACACAUUCAAUGCAUUUGGGACAGGCUGUGGCCACGCUGGCAAGACCAAGAAUGUUGACAGGAUAAUUCAGAGGGAAAAGGGAGGGCAUGUAACCAUGCGAGAGGGACAGGGGAUGGAAUCGGCUAGAAAUUUCCAGACCAGCUAUUUACAUGGUCUCAAGUCUCAGGUUCAAGUCCAAGUCCCUUUGCUAGGCAGGAGGCAGUAAAAUGUUUCACUGGAAGAGGAAAACUAAAAGCAAACUCCUCCUCCCUAGAAAUGAUAAAGCUGGUGUUCAUUAGCAGUUAAAAAGCCAGUGCUUUUUUAUAUUCCACUACCUCUUUUCUUCUUCUGGAUGAACUUAACAGACAGAUUCCUCCUUCCAGUUGUGUUUCCUAUGAAAACAAUGUAAUUGACUUCAGGGAAAUGUUAUUUCCAAAUUAGGUUACUUUCUCGUUUGUAUUUUCAUUUCUUGCUUUGUUCUGGUCAGAAAUCCUGUGAGUUAUGUAUUUUAAUUUAUAAUUAAAUAACCAAGGAAUAAUAGAACAUUAUUAACAUGCUGGUCAUAAAAAAUGAGUACUUUAAAAGAAAUACAUAGGGACAAAGCAGAGGGAAGAAAACAGAGAAAUACAAGUUAAUUUAAAGUUGAAAUUUGGUUCUUAAUUUGCCAUUAUUACACUCUCAACUCAGUUUCAUAAUUGCCUAGUUAUGUGCUAUGCGGUAUGGGAAAACCAGUAAAUUAAUAGACGUGAAAGAACGUCACAAAUGUUAAAAUGUAGGGGGGGGGAAUCACAUUAUAAUUAUUUAACAGAAGCAUUAGAUAAUGUCAGUGUCCUCAAAACAGUUUGAAGUACCCCUAGCAGGCAGCCAUCUGAUUCAGCUUUCUUGUAACAUGAGCAUCUUUUCUGUAGCACCACUGAUAAGACCCAUCAGGCACUAUCUAAAGCAUCUCAGAUACUCAAGCAUCUCAAGAUAGUCAGAGUGAUGUGACACAUUAAAUAAGCCCAAGACCUCAUCCUAGAGAACCCAUUAGAAACUCGAACAUGGGUUUCAUGGCCAUCACCCUACCUCUUCUGCUACAGAUUCAACAUAGUCGGUUGUAUCGGCAGGGUUCUCCAGAGAAACAGAACCAGAAGGCGAAUACACACACAGACACACAAUAGAAAGAGAGAUUGAGAGAAGGAAGUGAUUCAUGCAGUUGUGGGACUGGCAAGGCUGCAGUCUGUAAGGCAGGUUGGAAAAUCAGGUAAGAGUCGAUGUUGCCGUCUUGAGGAGAAUUUCUUCUUCAGGAAACCUCAGUCCUUGUGCUUAAGGCCUUCAACUGAUUGGUUAAGACCCACCC
rnacentral:lncRNA from 1 species